GGAGGGGUACCGAAGCGGUCAAACGGGGCAGACUGUAAAUCUGUUGGCGCAGCCUUCGUAGGUUCGAAUCCUACCCCCUCCACCA
rnacentral:tRNA from 1 species